UACGUAGGGUGCGAGCGUUAAUCGGAAUUACUGGGCGUAAAGCGUGCGUAGGCGGUUCGCUGUGUCCGAUGUGAAAGCCCCGGGCUUAACCUGGGAAUGGCAUUGGAAACUGGCGGGCUUGAGUGUGGCAGAGGGGGGUGGAAUUCCGCGUGUAGCAGUGAAAUGCGUAGAGAUGCGGAGGAACACCGAUGGCGAAGGCAGCCCCCUGGGUUAACACUGACGCUCAGGCACGAAAGCGUGGGGAGCAAAAGGG
rnacentral:rRNA from 1 species